rnacentral:rRNA from 1 species
CAAUAGCGUAUAUUAAAGCUGUUGCGGUUAAAAAGCUCAUAGUUGGAUUUCUGUCAAGGACAACUGGUCCGCCCUCCGGGUGAGCACAUAGUUUGGUCUUGACAUCUUGCUGGAAGCUGUUGCUGCACUUGGCUGUGUGGCGCAGUGUUCAGCACUUUCACUUUGAGGAAAUUGGAGUGUUUCAAGCAGGCACAUGCCUUUGGACACAGUAGCAUGGAAUAAUUAGAUUGGGCUUUUGCUCCAAUUUGUCGGUUUCUGGAGCUGAGGUGAGUAUUAAUGGGGAUUGUUGGGGGCAUCCGAAUUUAGCCGUCAGAGGUGAAAUUCUUGGAUCUGCUAAAGACGGACAACUGCGAAAGCGUUUGCCCAGGAUGUUUUCAUUGA